rnacentral:rRNA from 1 species
AGGGUUCGAUUCUGGCUCAGGAUGAACGCUGGCGGCGUGCUUAACACAUGCAAGUCGAACGGGAUCCAUCAGGCUUUGCUUGGUGGUGAGAGUGGCGAACGGGUGAGUAAUGCGUGACCGACCUGCCCCAUGCACCGGAAUAGCUCCUGGAAACGGGUGGUAAUGCCGGAUGCUCCAUCACAUCGCAUGGUGUGUUGGGAAAGCCUUUGCGGCAUGGGAUGGGGUCGCGUCCUAUCAGCUUGAUGGCGGGGUAACGGCCCACCAUGGCUUCGACGGGUAGCCGGCCUGAGAGGGCGACCGGCCACAUUGGGACUGAGAUACGGCCCAGACUCCUACGGGAGGCAGCAGUGGGGAAUAUUGCACAAUGGGCGCAAGCCUGAUGCAGCGACGCCGCGUGAGGGAUGGAGGCCUUCGGGUUGUAAACCUCUUUUGUUAGGGAGCAAGGCACUUUGUGUUGAGUGUACCUUUCGAAUAAGCACCGGCUAACUACGUGCCAGCAGCCGCGGUAAUACGUAGGGUGCAAGCGUUAUCCGGAAUUAUUGGGCGUAAAGGGCUCGUAGGCGGUUCGUCGCGUCCGGUGUGAAAGUCCAUCGCUUAACGGUGGAUCCGCGCCGGGUACGGGCGGGCUUGAGUGCGGUAGGGGAGACUGGAAUUCCCGGUGUAACGGUGGAAUGUGUAGAUAUCGGGAAGAACACCAAUGGCGAAGGCAGGUCUCUGGGCCGUUACUGACGCUGAGGAGCGAAAGCGUGGGGAGCGAACAGGAUUAGAUACCCUGGUAGUCCACGCCGUAAACGGUGGAUGCUGGAUGUGGGGCCCGUUCCACGGGUUCCGUGUCGGAGCUAACGCGUUAAGCAUCCCGCCUGGGGAGUACGG